rnacentral:rRNA from 1 species
GACGAACGCUGGCGGCGUGCUUAACACAUGCAAGUCGAACGGAAAGGCCCUGCUUGCAGGGUACUCGAGUGGCGAACGGGUGAGUAACACGUGGGUGAUCUGCCCUGCACUUCGGGAUAAGCCUGGGAAACUGGGUCUAAUACCGGAUAGGAGCCAUUUUUAGUGUGAUGGUUGGAAAGUUUUUUCGGUGUAGGAUGAGCUCGCGGCCUAUCAGCUUGUUGGUGGGGUAAUGGCCUACCAAGACGGCGACGGGUAGCCGGCCUGAGAGGGUGGACGGCCACAUUGGGACUGAGAUACGGCCCAGACUCCUAUGGGAGGCAGCAGUGGGGAAUAUUGCACAAUGGGCGCAAGCCUGAUGCAGCGACGCCGCGUGGGGGAUGACGGCCUUCGGGUUGUAAACUCCUUUCGCUAGGGACGAAGCUUUUUGUGACGGUACCUAGAUAAGAAGCACCGGCUAACUACGUG